GUUGCAUGGAAUAAAUCGUGACUCAUUAAAAUAAACUGCAGUGUGUUUGUAAGCCAGAAAAGGGGAGACCUUAUGCCUUUGUGCUCAUUUGCGACUGUGGAGCAGAGUGAACAGGUUCAGUCCUAGUGUGUCGUCCUUACUCUUUUGUCUUAUUGGACAGGCCAACAGAAAGUCAAAAACUUACAUUCUCUUCAGACACUUAGUGCCCGUGUUUAUUGGCAUUACUCAAGUGCCCAUUAUCUUCUCAAUAAGGUGUUUCCUGGCAUUCCAGUCAAUUGCCCUGUUGUAUAUAUAACCUUAUAGAUGUGUAGAAAUGAAGUGGAAACUAUACCGUAUCUCAUUCAGAAUCCUUAUGUCACUUUAUGGAUAAGAUAGGUUUGACUCUGAACUGAUUGAUUUUAUGUUUUACUUAAAGUGCUGCUUUCCCUACCCCAGGUUUGUUCUAAGAAGUCAAAAUAGGCAGAAACCUGAAAAUUGAAAAAAACAAAAGGAAAGAGCAAAAAUUUUACUUUUAAACAAUUUCUUUAAAUUAAACACUGUUUGAUUCAGGUAGACAUAAUUGCAUC
rnacentral:lncRNA from 1 species